UGGAAAGCCAAAGGGGACCCCCGCUAAAAUACAUAUACUUAUAUAGUAAAUAUCGGGAUUUUCAUUUUUCGCGGAACUUUCACUUUCCGCGAAGAACCAAGGCCAGCAUAGCCAUGAAAUACUACAUACAAAUCGAAAUCUAAAAAGCGCGGAACUUUCAUAUAUUUUCCGUCGGAAUAAUUAUCUUUCAACCCCGUAGAGAAAGCGGGCUCAAAUAAUUGCGCGGAACCUUAAUACUAUCUACUCUGUACAAAUAGUAGUGUAUAAAAUCGCGCGGACCUAAUCCACAAAGCGCGGAACACAAAUAUCUUCCGCGAAAAUUAAGCAUUGAAUUACUGUACAAAUCUCGGGUUGCUAUGUAAAUUGCGGGUUGCUAAUGAAAAAUCGCGCGGAAGAUUCAUUACUCCGCGCGAUUUUCAAUAGCAUUGAAUGACUGCACGAAAUUCGGGUUGCUAUGUGGUUACGCGAUAAAAUUUGAUUGGUUCCGACACCUAGAAAGAACCAAUCAAAACUCGCGUCUUAUCCAGCAUUCAUGCAGUCGUCAUGAUGACGGUUGUUUCACAUUAACACAAAACCUUUUAAGGGCGAAAAAGUGAUCAAUUUUGAUGACAUUAGCAAUGAGCUGUAGCACUGUUCCCAACUUGAACAUCAUCUUCUAUGUACAUACCUGAGGCAGAGCCAGCUUGCCCAUCUGACAUCUGCUGUGGACAACCGAGUCAGAGCCAGCUUGCACGUCAUCUGUUGUGGACAUCGGUGUUAGAGCCAGCUUGCACAACCUCUAUUGUGGACAUCGGUGUUAGUGCUAGCUUGCACGUCAUCUGUUGUGAACAUCCGUGUAAGAGCCAGCUUGCACGUCAUCUCUUUUGGACAUCAGUAUUAGAGCCAGCUUGCACAUCCUCUGUUGUGGACAUCCGUGUAAGUGCUAGCUUGCACGUAAUCUGUUGUUGACAUCUGUGUUAGAGCCAGCUUGCACGUCAUAUGUUUAGGACAUCAGUCAGAGAUAGCUUGCAUGUUAUUUACUUGUGGACAUUAUUCAGAGCCAGCAAGGACAAUCUCUGUUGUGGAUAUCUGUCUAAGAGCUUGCACGUCAUCGGUUGUUCACAUCCUUGUAAUAACCAGCUUGCACAUCAACUGAUGUGGAAAUCUGAGUCAGAGCCAGCUUGCACAUCAUCCGUUGUGGACAUCUCUUUUUGAUUCUACUCUUUGCUUAGAUUGACACUGUGACUUUAGUGUAAUACGUUACAACCUUAAGCUAUUCCUAUUGUUGAAUAAAAAUAUUGUGUCAUUAAAAUAUAUUUUGUUGGAUAAUUUGUAUGUUGAGUUGUAUUGUUUGGUCAUUGCAAAGUAUCAAGUUAUUUUAAGACAAGAAAAAGCUCAUCUUUCAUCAUGUAUUUAUAUUAAAAUUCUUGAAUGUUAGUGAAGGUACAGUUCAUAUAAUUAAAAGCAAUUGUAAUAUGAUUGCUUGUGUUUUAUUGCACAGUGAAUACCAUCUUGUCUUUAUGCUGACAUAUAGAACGGAGAAAUAGUAAACUGUCGUUUUUAUAUGCAAUGGGAUUGUAUAUCUAGACUUGUGUGUUCAGAUGAAAAAAUUGCCAUAAUUUUUCUCUUUAUAUUUUAUUCCUGCUAAAUGGUUGAUGCAAUAAAGUUAAGUCUUUAAUGACUUGUGUUUCUUGUAAUAUUAUUUGUAAGCAAAUUUGGCUGUAGUAUUAGAUGCAUGCUGUACAAGAUACUGUAGAUCAACAUUAUAUUGUUUGAGUAUGAAUAGAUAAUUCAAGGUGCACAGCCAUUAAUUUUGCCCUCCACCAUCUCCGAUUUUGGUUAGACAGUUGCAAGUUACUUGCAUUAGUAUGAAGUCUUAAAAAUUAGUAUAAUUGCUGUUGUGUUAUUAUUAACCUUUUCCUGCUCUGAGGAAAUUUUAAAAUUUCUACAUGCAAACAUCAUAAAACCAGAACAGCCUGCAAGUAACUCACAAUCUGUUCAGGUUUUAUGCUGUUUGCUGCUCAUCAGUAUCCAUGGGUUGGAAACAAAGCCUUUAAAACUUUAAUAUAGUAAGAAAGGUGUUAAAUUAAAUUUAUUCUCGAAUGUGUCUUAGUGCGUUUUUGAGUGGUACAGGGUUAAAUGUCUCAUUUUGUUUUUGAUUAUCUUUGGUUUAUUGAACAUAUAUGAGCCUU